rnacentral:ncRNA from 2 species
UCAUACAUAUUUGGAACAGGUGUCUUAAUUUUUAAGACUUAAAAGGGAAGUUGGUGAAAAUCCAACGCGGUCCCGCCACUGUAAAUGGGAACGAGCUGCGUUCAGCCACUGUACAAAGUUUGUAUGGGAAGGUGCAGCAAGUGAUGACCAUAAGCCAGGAGACCUGCCUGUUCCUUGAGCACCGA